GUCCAUCAACUACUACAGCAAGAUCCACAACAACAACAACUGCAGGACGAAAAACGACAACUGCUGAACCAACAUCGACAACUGCAGGAUCAACAACUUUUGCAGAAAAACCUGCAGCCACAACUGCAGGACCAACAACAACUGCAAGACCUAUCACUUCUACUGUUGUACCCAAAACAAUAACUGAAGGAAAAACAACAACAGCCUCAGAACCAACAACUUCUAAAUCAGGACCCACAACAACAACAACUGGUGGACCAACAAAAACCACUGCAGGACCAACAACUACGGCUGCGGAAACUGCAAGAACAACGGCAAGACCAACAACUACAACUGCUGAACUAACAUCGACAACUGCAGGAUCAACAGCUUUUGCAGAAAAACCUGCAACAACUGUAGGACCAACAAAAACUGGAAGAUCUGUCACUUCUACUGUUGUACCCAAAACAAUAACUGAAGGAAAAACAACAACAGAAGAGACAACUGCAGGAACAACAAUAACAACUAAAAGAUCCACAACUCCACGGCCAACAACAACAUCUGUGGGAUCAAAAACGACUGCAGGACCAAAAACGAGAACUGCUCAACGAGAAACAAAAGCUACAGGACCCACAGCAACAACCUCUGAACUACCAAAAACAACGCCAACUGCUGAACCAACAACUACAAUUGCUGGAACAAGAGCUACAACUGCAGGAACAUCAACCACUGCAGGACCAACAACAACUGCUGGAACAAGAGCUAAAACUACGGGACUGACAACAAAAACUGAUGGACCAACAACGACAACUUCUGAACCAACAACAAUUGCAGGACCUACCACUGCUAUUGCAAGACUAUUAUCCACUACAGUAGGAACAACAACAACAACAAUUGCAGGACUAACAAAGCCAACUGUUGAACAACCAACAACAUCUGCAGGACCAACAACUGCAGGGCAAAAGACUGCAGGGCCAUCAACUACUACAGCAACAUCCACAACAACAACUGCAGGACGAAAAAAGACAACUGCUGAACAAACAACAGCAGCAGAAAAACCAACAUCUAUGACAACAGAAGAGACAACUGCAGGAACAACAAUAAUCACUAAAAGAUCCACAACUGCACGGCCAACCACGACCACUUCUGAACCAACAACAACUGCAAGACCUAUCACUUCUACUGUUGUACCCAAAACAAUAACUGAAGGAAAAACAACAACAGCCUCAGAACCAACAACUUCUACAUCACGACCCACAACAACAAAAACCGGACCAAUAACGACAACUGCUUUACCAAAACAAACUGCAGGACCAUCAACAACAACAAUAAGAAAUACCGCAGGAUCAACAACAACAACUGCAGGACCAACAACAGUCAAUGCAGAACCCACAACGCCAACUGCUGAACCAACAACUACUGCUGGUCAAAUAGCUACAACUGCAGGACAAAUAAUAACUGUAGGACCAACAACGGCAAUUGCUGAACCAACAACGCCAACUGCUGUAAAAACAACACCAACUGUAGGACCAACGACUGCAGUGCCAAAAACAGCGACUACAGGACUGACAACGAGAACUGCUGAACCAACAACAAUUGCUGGACCAAGAGCUUCAACUACAGGCCCAAUAUCGACAACUGCUUUACCAACAACAACUGCAAGACAAACAACAACAACAUUAACUACUACCACGGGAUCCACAACAACACCAACUUUAGGAGCAAUAACGACAACUGCUUUACCAAAACCAACUGAUGGACCAGCAACAACAACAACAUUAAAUACUACCGCGGGUUCAACAACAACAACUGUAGGACCAACAACAACCAAUGCAGAACCCACAACGCCAAAUCCUGAACCGACAACAAUUCAUGGAUCUGGAGCUACAACUGCAGGAACCACAACAGCACCUGCAGGAUCAUCGACAACUGCAGUGUCAACAACGACAACUGUAGAUCCCCCUACAGAAAAUAAAGGGACUAUUGAUUUGAGAUUCAGCAU
ensembl:lncRNA